CUGGAGGACCGGACGCGGCCUCUCUUGGCUCAGCCGAAGGUGAGCAGAAGUAACCCGUCCGGCCUAUAGAGGGUGGCUGGUCCCGUUGCUAUGGAAGCAACAAGUCUCUAGGCGACCCCCGACCACGAUUGAAGGCUACACUGAAGAAGUUGCGGCACUCCUUCCUGGCUUCCCAGCUCGGGGACCGCCUCGUGCCCUGACACUGACGCUCUGAAUGCGUGUCCAAGGUCGGUUGCCUCUUGGGCAGACGCCUCACUUUUGUUCUGUUACAUUACUUGGUACUGUUUGCGCCUGUGUCUAGUAGGUUCACCUCUCUGAAAACAAGGACCAUAUCUUUUGUUGCUUUGUCUUCUCAAGGCCUAACACAUCUAAUAGAAGACGGCAGAAUUAGGUCUAAACCACUGUUUUUCAGCUAACAGGAGUCUAACAAAACCGGGAAAAAAAAGAAGACGGCAGAAUUAGAGAUGAGGAAGACUGCUUACAUUAAGGAGAUUCAAAGUGGGAGCCAAUGCAGAAGCAAAGAUGACAUCCUCUGAUAUGGACAGAAUUGUCUUCCUACAGAGAGGCCGGAGAGUAUAACAUAAUACCAGGAGUUACCAUUCACCUAAAGUUUACCGGAUGUUGGGCACUGUGUGAAUUGUCUCAGUUAAUAAAGUAUGAAAUAGGUCCUCUUAUCCCCAUUUUACAGAUUGGAAAACAGACCCACAGAAUUUAAGCAGGAAGAAGAAUCGAGUGGCCCGCAUUGAAGCACUGAUGAAGCACCUGCAUUGUGCCAGAGACUUUAUAUAAUCUCCUCGAAGGCUCCCAGGGCUCUGUAGGUAAUGCUAACAUCUUCCUUUUACAGCAGACGAAUUUGAAGCCCAGGUUGUGUGACAUGCCUACACAGCUGGUGGGGACCAAGUGUAGGGUCUAACCCAGGGUGUCUGUCUCCUCUGAUUCCACCAUAGCCACACCCUUCUCAUUAGAAUGGGAGGAAUGUCCUUGAGAGGUCAGACAGGGGCCAGGUUCCCACCAGCCUCUGAAGGCUUCAGGACUCUAAUGAUAGAAGCUCUGCAUUCCUCUCCUUGUCCGCCGAGUAUGGAGCUGACAGGUGAAACUGGCAUGGGUGCCGAGAAGGCUGGGCAUCAGGCUUCUGAGAGCCGAACCCCAGCCUCAAUAAUAUGCCUGGCAUACACCUGAGGGCACCGGGGAAUGCAGAGGAAGAGUCCUGCUGGGUUCUGUGCACAGGCCACCAGUCCCCGUCCCCUAAGGGAAGAGAGCGCAGAAACUUCCCAAGGCUCAUAGGCCCCAGACUAGGGUGGACGGCUCCGCAGAGCCCGGUGGCCAGUUGCACUCUGUGGGAAAGCCUUGGCCCUGGCCCGGCCGGGAGCCACGCUGGUGCCGCCUCCUGCCCACGGCUUGGCUCAGCGGUUCCCAAGUGGCUUUACUUCCUCCCCUCGCUUGCCCCCACCUCCCACAGUCCCCAGGGGGACAGGGAGGCCAUUGGCAGAGUUGACUCUCAGUCCCCGAGUCCCACAGGCCCCUGCACGCCCCCUCCCCACACACCUCAGAGCCAGGCUUCCCCAGAAAGAGCAGGAGGGGACUCUAGCCCUCCCCAGGGAGCUCCUACCCCAGGCCCGUUUAGGGCUGGCCGGCCCCCUCCCCACUCCUUCCGCUAUCCACUAAGGCUCCACUCUGGGCUGCAAUAACAGGGCUCUGGGUAUGGGCUGUUGUUUUUGCAGCUGGGAUGGGGCGGAGCAGCAGCGGGAAGGCGUCUCGCGCACCGACAGUCUGAGAAAGCCCUGAGCCCACAUUCCCACUAGGGCCGGGGCAGCUCCGUCAGGCUAGUGAUGGAGCUGUUGCUGGGGGCAGAGGCGCCUGGUGAGUGUCGAGGGCAGGCCGAGAAAGAGGCUAGCCUGUAGGGCCAAGAGAGUUAAGGGGAGCCUGGGAGCCCCAAGCCCUGUCUGAGCCGCCUCCUUCAGCAGACUGUGGCCUCCCUCCUUUGUAACUGCAGCUGGACCAAGCCUCUCCCCGCUCGCCCAGCCCCCGCACACAUCUGGGAGACGCUGGAGAAAGCUUCCUUAAAACCAACAACAAACACAACAAAAUAUCUCAUUUACUAGGGGGGAAAUGGUAGGAACUAAAAAGAAUAAAACGGAGGUCACUCCUAGGCCCCUCACUCAAAAAUAUUCAUUAUGAACAUUUUGACAUAUUUCCCUAUAAGUUAUUUUUAAAAUGGUGGUACAAUCGACAUAAUAUAAAAUUUACUUUUUUUUUGAGAGGGAGUGCUGGAGUGCAGUGGCACGAUUUCGGCUCACUGCAAUCUCUGCCUCCUCCCAGGUUCAAGCAAUUCUCCUGCCUCAGCUUCCUGAGUAGCUGGGAUUACAGGCGCAAGCCACCGUGCCCAGCUAAUUUUUUUUGUAUUCUUAAUAGAGGUGAGGUUUCACCAUAUUGGCCAGGCUGGUCUCAAACUCCUGACCUUGUGAUCUGCCCACCUCAGCCUCCCAAAGUGCUACUUUGGGAUUACAGGCAUGAGCCACCACACCCAGCCCUAAAACUUACCAUUUUAACCAUCAUUAUGUGUACAGUGGCAUUCAUACAUUCACACUGUUUUACCGUCAGCACGAGCCGUCAGCACCAGCCAGCUCUUCCCAAACUCUGUACCUGUGAAAUACCAACUCCCCAUUCCCACCUCCCCCCAGCCUCUGGCAACCUCCAUUCUACUUUCUGUCUCUCUUUGGCAACUCUAGGCACCUCGAAUAAGCGGAAUUUGUCCUUUUCUCUUUGGCUUCUUUCACUGAGCAUAUCAGUUUCAAGGUGACACAUGUUGGACCAUGUGUCAGAAUUUCCUUCCUUUUAAAGGCUGAGUAAUAUUCCGUUGUGUGUCACAUUUUGUUGAUCCAUUCAUAACCUGUUUUUCCAACAUGAUCAAGAUUAUACUUGUCAGGUGUUAAAUAUCCUGAUUUUUUUUUACUCAGAUGUUGCCAUGUCAUUAAAAUUUUUUUCUAAACAUGUUUUUUUUUUAAGACAGGAUAUCACUCUGUCAUCCAAGCUGGGAUGACUGUGGCAGAAUCACAGCUUACUGCAACCUUGACCUCCCAGGUUCAGGUUCAGACCUCCCACCUUAGCCUCCCAGGUAGCUGAGACUACAGGCCCAUGCCACCACACCCAGAUUUUUUUUUUUUAUUUUUUGUAGAGAUGGGAUUUUGCCACAUUGCCCAGGCUGGUCUCAAACUCCUGGACUUAAGUGAUCCACCCUCUUUAGCCUCCCGAAGUUCUAGGAUUACAAGUGUGAGCCACCACAUCAGGCCCUAAACAUGAUUUUUAGUGCUGCCCUUUCAUUGCUUGUAGAUGGAAUAGCAGAAUGUAUUUCAGCAGUCUCCUAUUCUUAAAUACUGAGAAACUCUCCUUGCUUGGUUUAUUUGUUUGUCAUUAUAAAUGACCGAGAGAAAAACAUCUUGGUAGAAAUUUCUGGGGGAUCCUCUGUGGUCCUGCCUGACUUCCAGCAUCUCAGGUGAUUUUCCAAGGGAGAAUCCCAGGAGUGGAAUUGCUCAUCAAAGUGAUAAACACUCCUCAGUCUCUUGAUAACUAUCCCCCAAAACUUUCGGGAAAAUCAUGUCCAUUCGUCCUCCAUGAGCAGCAUAGGAAACCCAGAGCCUUUUCCUCUGUUCACCACACAUUCAGCAAAUUUCUGAGCACCAUGGACCUGGCAUUGAGGACCCGGGUGCUCAGAAAAACAGGCAGGGGUUCAGCGACCCAACCAUCUCCUCCCAAUGCCCCCUGCAGCUCCCUGUCUUAAAUCCUUGAUGACUUGGAGCUGAGUGGCUCAGGCAAGAGCCAGCCUGGGCAAGGAAGCAACUAAUGGCGUGGGGGUACAGCAUCUCUCUCCCAGGUGUGGCCUAAGGCUGGCCUAGGUCUACUCUGCAGAUUCCUUAGUGGCUGCCCAGCCAGCCCCCUACAGAGGAGUAGCUAGGUAAAUGACAGCUGUUGAGGGUUUUCUAUAGGCCAGGCCCACUGCAGUUACCUUGAUUGUCUCAAUUUUGCUGACCAGGUGAUCAGGUAUUGUUUGGCACCAUGUUUAAGUCACACAGCUGGUGUGUAGUACAGCUGGGGUUUAUCAUCAGGUCUCUCUAACUCCAGAGCUCAUGCUCUAGGUGGUUCCCAUGUCCUGCUGCUUCUCCCAGGGGCUCUUCCGGCAUCCCAAGUCUGGGAGAAGAAAAGGAAGCACUGCAGGCCAGUGCCUUGCUGAGGUUUAGGCCAGAGACCUCUGGCCACAGGGAACGAGGAGCACUCCAUGCCCCAGAGGGACCUGGCUAGGGCAGGAAUAGGGCAACGAGGGCAGGGGCAGCAGGCUCCAUGCUGCACACAGAAAGCCUAAUUGUGUACAGAUGGUGCUCUUUGGAAAAAUAAGUAUCAUGAGGUUGUCUUGUUUUGGACAAUCUGAUGUCCCAGAGACCCAGUGCCAAAAAAAAAAAAAAACACAGCUGACACGGCUGAGGAAGUGGAGCCAGCAUUGCUGAAGCCUCCAGGUGAAGCUGGCCCUUUAGGGGUGGGGAAUAAGAUCUCCUGCAGGCUCCCAAACUGGAACCUGGGGCUGACGGCUCCUAGGGGUUCAGGUCUUGGGCUGGGAAAUUAUUCCACAUACAGAUGGGAGCAGAUUAGAGGAGCUCAGAACCCUGCCCCCGACCACAGCCUUGAGGGUCACAUGCAGAGGGACCUCACCACAUCCAGAAGCCUGGAGAUCCACCUGAGCCCUAGGAGCAGGCACGGAGGCAGCCAGGUUGGGGGCUGGCCAGGCCUCGGGCUGUCAGAGCACCCUACAAGGCAGGGAAGGCUGCUCAGCAUGAACCCAAGCCAGGAGGGAGAUCUUUUUUCCAGAACAAGACUCCCUGUGGGGCGCAGGGCAGAAGUCAGUGGGCUCAAGAAUCUGGGACGUGCCUGCCUGACUCGGCUCAGGUCAAGAGGGCAGCCCACUGGCCUGGCCUCACCAGCCAAAGCCAACACAGGAAAUGCCAGCCAGACCUCAACAUCCAGGCACCCAAUUGGCUCUGUCUGCCAGGGAGCAUCGGCCUUCCCGGGCUCAGUUGUUGGCAAUGCUGGCCGUAGGGAACCAUGGCGUUAGUGCUCGCUUAGGGGAUUCGGGGUCCCUGGGCCUGUCCUCGUGGGCUCUAAGCCGCAGGACAGGAGGAGCUGGGCAAACACACAGGAGACCAGCAGGCAGCAGAAGGGAGCCAGGCGUUUCCCUGGACGGCAGCCACCAGGCUGUUGUUGGGAUCCAGUUUCAGGCUCCUUCGAGGAGAGCUGCAUGGGGUCAUCCCCUCCGCGACGCCCCAGGAAGGAGACUGAUGAGCAGACAGUUGUUAACGCCGCCGCCGCCACCGUGGUGAUUAAGGCCGCAGUAAUUGGCCUCGCAGCCAGGCAGGGGCAGCCAGGCAGGGGCUGAGCCUGACAGCCGGCAGCCGCCAGGGUCUGCAGAGCAGGGGAGGGGGCCGCCAGUGCUGUAGCUGUGUGCACUGAUGGGAUUAGGUUGUGAAUUGACACUCAAUCCUCCUUAGUGAUUUCCUUCCUGGGGCCCCAGCCAGGGCCAGGACUGUGGGGAUGGGAGUGGGUUGCCGGCAGAGAGCAGACAUAAGCCUUUCCAGGCUCCUUUAAGCUGGCCACUAGCUGGGGUAGGGGUGCAGGGUCUUCAUCUGGGACUGAGCUUGGCCAAAGCUUGCUCUGUAGUCCCUCCACAACUGCCCAGCCGGCCCCACAUGGGGGAUGAGCUUUUCCGGAAGGUACCCUCUUUCCCACAUUCCCACUAGUACCUGGCACUAGUCAUGCCUUGCAGGUAACCUCUGUACUCCCAACAUGGAGCCUGGCACAGAAUAGGUUUGCUAAGGACAUUGGCGAACAGAAUGGAUCAAUGUCGUCUUCCCUGAUUGGCCUAAGUGCCUUGUGGGAGAAUCUGUGUGACCCCCUCCAAGGUCUGGGUGCAUUUUUCUACAAUCUCAGGAGUGAAGAGCUCUCCAAAGACCACUAGGUCCCUGGCCCUGCCUCUCUGAGAGCAUCCCUCCAGCCCUCUCUGCUGGGCAGCCGUGCCACACUCCUGAGUUCACCCCUGCAUGUGCCCGUGUGCGUGAGCAUGUGUGUGCUUCUGUCCGCCCAGGAGGGACACUGGAUAUUUCCUUCUCCAUACAUCUUCUGCGUCCUCUCGCUUUCCAGGGUCCCUCCCUUGGAGGUCCUGGGCAGGAAGGAGGAACGCUAGGUGUGUGGUGUGGAGGCCUCUGGGUCAGGACCUUUCCAGAGCUUGCCUUGUUUACACUUCAGGCCGAGGCCAGGCCACACUGGCCUCCUACCUGCUUGUCCCCUCGGGCUCUUCCCUGCAGGAGUGCCCCAGGCCCUCUGUGAGUAAGAGCUGGCUCUUGGCUGCUCUGGGCCAUGGCUGGAAUAAGGGGCUUCCCCCUCACUGCGGCAUGUGCUGGAGGCCGGGGCGCUAGAGACUGCAGCAGCCAUGGAGGCAGCGCAGGCACCCAGCUGUCAGCCUCAGUCGGCAGAGGCAGAGCCAGCCCCCACUGGUGGUGUCAGGCAAGAAAUGCCCCCCAGGCCUGGGGACACGUGCAUAUCUCAGGCACGUUCAGGCUGAAAUGCAACCCGUCCUGCCUUCUUGCCAGGUUUGCCUUGAAAACCCCUCCACUGCCAGUUGCCCAGCUCUGUCCAGCCCAGGCCUCCAGGGCCCCAGGCUCCACUGCCCGAGGAAAACCCGAGCCCUUCAGGGAGGAGAGGCACCGACUGCCACAUUCCAAGCAGAACUCACUCCCUCCCUGGCCUGCCGCCACCACUUCCUUCUCAUCCUCCAGCCUCUCUCCCCCAUCCCAACCUCCUUCCCCAAGGGUUUUCUAGCCCUCUGCCAGUCACAUCCACCCGCUCCAGAGAAGAGGCUGAAAGCUGUGGUAGAAUGAGAACGAGGCCUGGCUGUGCAGCUCAGGGCAGCUGUGAAACCUCUCUGAGCUUCAGUUUCCUCAUCUUUAAAAUGGGAGUAGAGAAUGUCCACACCGUAGUUACUGGCUUUGGAAGGAUAUCAACGAUGUAUUGCUGAGCUAAAACAGCAGGCAUUGGAGAUGCUCUGGAGGAAGCCAAUCAAUUGCGGUCAGAAGCUGCCCCCAGAGUCUGGUGUGGUGAGAGCAGGACAGAGGAGUAAUGGGUGUGUGGUGGGGAGAGAAAUCUCCUUUUUACUAAUAUACCUUGACUUUUGUUUCAGCAAGUAUGUACCCCUUUUGUGAUUUAAAAAAAAUUUAAAGAUUUUCUUUUCCAGAGCUGUUACCAGCUUUAAAUGCUAAUGUGUAUUUGAAUGACUGAAGGAGCCUGGGCAUGUAUGGCUGGGACAGGCUGCUCUCUUUCCCUGGAGCUGACUGAGGUCUCCUCACUUGUCUACCUGCUUCCCUGAAGGGGUUAAAGCAGCAGCACUUCUGGAACUGAGAGAAGGGAGCCCAAAAGCCCCAGUGAGGCCAGAGGUCCACCAGGCUACAGUGGGGUGGCAUGGGGGGGGGCACCUCCACCCCGCCUGGGCCCUCCUUGUCUCCUGGCUGCUGAGGCCGCCCAGCAGGCCACUAGGGCCGCCCACUCUGCCCGGCUGGAGACCUGCUUCCAAUUACCCAUGAAAUCUGAGCUGGAAGAGACCUAUUAAAGCCCCAUUUAGUUUGAUCCCCCUGGGGGCCAGGGAUCUUUUCCGGCGACAUCCCCCUCCUUGUCCGACUGGGACUCCAAGCCCUUUGGAUGUUAUCUCCUCCUGGGUCAAUAUUGUGACAACUCCAGCUGUGACCCAGGCCACCCCGGAGCCAGAGCUGGUCUGGGCCUGGCCUGGCGAGGUGCAGGGGGUGGGGGUGGAAACCCAGCUCCUCCCCACCUUGGGGUUCCCGCUGCCCACUCCUCUCCUUCGUUUUCCUUUUCUUCAGCUGCAGCAGGACCAUCCCACUUUCAGCCCGAGCCCAGCCUGGCCUGUACCCCACGUUCCAGGCUAGUUCGCAGGUCACCAAGUAGCUCCUGGUCCUACCUGGUCAUCCCCUGGGAAGCUCUUACUGGUAGAGACUGUCUUUCCCAUAUUCCCAGUUGUGCCUGAUACAGGGUUGCACGUUUCAUAACACCCCGUUACAUAAGAAAUAAUAAAUAAUGGUGAUUAAUGACCUCCUCCCUUCGUCCCUAGGCUCGCCUGGGUCAGACCUCCCAGGGAAGGCACAGGGGCUCCUGGAGGAGGAAGGGAGGGAGCAAGGAGUGCAGGGGGCACCUGCUGUCCCUCCACAUCCUCCCCGAGCACCUCUGCACGUCCUCUCCAUGGGCCACUCCCUAGAGAGCAAGAGGAAGCCACCAGGAAGGGUCUGUGAUGAGAGCUGAAGUUCUGCAUUUCAACGAGCUUCCAGGUGAUGCCAAUGCUGCUGGUUCCCGGAACACAGUUUGAGCCUCGAUGCUGUAGAAUUUUCACCACUGAUAGGAAAAGGCGUUCCCAAAAUAUAAUAAAAUGAAGAAAAGCAUGCUGUAAAACAGCACGAUGUCAUUUUAUUUGUUUUUUUAUUUUUUGAGACAGAGUCUCACUCUGUCACUCAGGCUAAAGUGCAGCGGUGUGAUCAGAGCUCACUGCACCCUCAAACUCCUGGGCUUAAGUGAUCUUCCUACCUCAGCCUCCCAAGUAGCUGGGACUACAGCCAUGUACCACCAUGCCCAGCUAAGUUUUUAAAUUUUUUGUAGAGAUGGGAGUCUCACUAUGUUGCCCAGACUGGUCUUAAACUAGCCUCAAGCAAUCCUCCCACUUGACUUCCUAAAGUGCUGGGAUUACAGGUAUGAGCAACCACACCUGCCAUGAUACCAUUUUUAUAAGGAAAACAAUAUAUACAUGCAUAGAAAAUAUCCAGAAGGAUAUAACAAAAUAUUGAUAAGGGCUUUCUCUGAGUGAUAAGAUUGGAUAAUUUUUGUUUUAUUAUUUAUGCUAAUUUGUAUUUCAUACAUUGAUUAUAUAUUAAUUAUUUAAUUAAGACAAAGUAUGUUUUGACUUCGAGGUCAUACUCCUGAAUGUAAAGGGUAGUUCUCGCUUGAAGGGGAAGCAUUGCUGGACCAAUUUUGAAAAGUGUGUCACUUGGUGCAGGAGCCAGCGCUGAGCUGGGAAGGCCUGGCUGGGCAGAGGUCUGGGAACAGGGUUCUCUUGACCUGGACCAUGCAGCUUCGAAUAUAAGAGGAAUUCCCAGGUGGUGGAAGGUAAGAUGAGUUGUCUAUGUGGAGGCUGGCACAGGAUGGAAACUGAGGCCCCAGCCUUUGACUCAGAAGGGCAGCUGUCUCAGGCUCCAGAUGCUGACCCAUUCUCAAACCUUUGGCAUUUGUUUCUCCUCUGAUCUUCCUUCCCCUGAGUAUCCAACUGAGACCAAUGAGGUGGUAGCAGCAGUAGUCAGAAAGAGAGAGACCCACCCCCCAACACCCCUGCCUCCGGGAAGGCAAAUCUGGUUUUGAGGGCAGAGAUCAGAUUUCCAGGAUGGCUCCUGCAGAAGUUCUUUCUCUAGGACCAACCUCUGAAAGUCCAGAUUUUGCUUCAGUGGGGGACAGGUUCCUCUUACAAAGUGGAUACUACAUGCUCCUACUUGAGGAUGAUGUGAUUCCAGAGAGGGGCAUCAAGCAUUUGCUCAGGAUUUUGUGAGGUAACCUGCUGGAUGACCUUGGGUGGUCCCUGAAAAAUCUCACCAGCUGAGGUUUCUCAGCCAUAACAGAAACUACUAUUUUAUAGUAGUAGGGCUGUGGGCUUCAGAUGGCCGUUUUGUUUGGUUGGUUGGGUUUUUUUUUUUGAGACAGGGUCUCCCUCUGUCACCCAGGCUGUAGGGUAAUGGUGUGAUCUCGGCUCACUGCAACCUCCGCCUCCUAGGCUCAAGCUGUCCUCUCACUGAGCCUCCUGAGUAGCUGGGACCACAGGCAUGUGCCACCAUACGGCUAAUUUUUUGUAUUUUUGGUAGAGAUGGGGGUCUCCCUAUGUUGCCCAGGUUGAUCUGAAACUUGACCUCAAGGGAUCCACCUGCUUCAGCCUCCCAAAGUGCUGGGAUUACAGGUGGAAGCCUCCAUGCCUGGCCUCAAUAUAUUUUUUUUUAAUUUCUGUAUUUGGCCAGGCGCAGUGGCUCAUGCCUGUAAUCCCAGCACUUUGGGAGGCCAAGACGGGUGGAUCACUUGAGGUCAAGAGUUCGAGACCAACCUGGCCAACUUGGCGAAACCCCGUCUCUACUAAAAAGACAAAAAUUAGCUUGGCGUGGUGACACACAUCUGUAGUCCCAGCUACUUGGGAGGCUGAUGUGGGAGAAUCACUUGAACCCAGGAGGUAGAGGUUGCAGUGAGCCAGGACCGCAUCACGGCACUCUAGCCUGGGUGAUAGAGUGAGACCCUGUCUAAAAAAAAAAAAAGAGCCAGGUGUGGUGGCUCACACCUAUAAUCCCAGCACUUUGGGAGGCCGAGGUUGGGGGAUCACUUGAGGUUAGGAGUUUGAGAUCAGCCCAACAUGGCGAAACCCAGUCUCUACCUAAAAUAUAAAAAUUAGCUGGGCAUGGUGGCACGUGCCUGUAAUCCCAACUACUCUGGAGGCUGAGGCACUAGAAUAGCUUAAACCUGGGAGGUGGAGGCUGCAGUGAGCCAAGAUUGCACCAUUGCACUCCAGCCUGGGCUACAAGACUUCUUUUGGCAGAAAGACUCUGCCAAAAAAAAAAAAAAAAUCUCGGAAAUCUCUGCGUGUUGUAAAAGGAUGUGCCAAGGCUGAAAAGUCUCCCUAUUCUUCUUGUUCGUUUUCAGAGAGAAGACGGCAGGAACCUUCCAUAUUGCCCUCAGUGGCUUGCCAGCUGAGGUUCUGCUUGCCUAGAUGUCACCCCUAACCUGACCAUGGGCUUAAAAUGUUUAUUUUUCUAUGUCACUGGUUCAUCUCAAGCAUGAACAUAUGAGAUGUUUUGGGGGCGUGUUGAAGAUGAAUUUAGCUGGACUCAAACACAGCCUUUAAUAACAUUGAAUCAUGGAGUGAGAAAACUGUCCCAUUUCCAGUUCUCUUUCCAACCUUCUAAUGAGUCAAAAGAAAGCCUCAGUUAGGAGGUAAUAUGUCUCUAACACCUCACUAACACUUGCUAGUUUUCCUUUUAAACAAAAAGAAAUUGGGCCUCAGGUUUAGAUUCUCUGCCAGCAAAUUCAGCUAUAAUUUAAUUGAUUUUUAUAGUUACCUUUCUAUUUAAGGUAGUGAUACAAAGUUUCCUUUAAAAAUAGUUUUAAGAAAAAAGGGCUAAUUAGCGUAACAAAUACAGUAGUCCCGCUUAUCCAGCUUUACCUUCUAUGGUUUCCUUACCUGUGGUACAGUACAGUUAGAUGUUUUGAAAGAGAAAUAGAGAAAGCGAGAUGGACCACAUUUACAUAACUUUCUUUAUAAUGUAUUGUUAUCCUUGUUCUUUUUUUUCUUUUCUUUUUUUGAGACAGAAUCUCUCUCUGUUGCCCCAGCUGGAGGGUGAUGGCACAAUUUUGGCUCACUGCAAACUCCACCUCCCGGGUUCAAGCAAUUAUCCUGCCUCAGACUCUCAAGUACCUGGGAUUACAGGCAUGCACCACCAUGCCCAGAUAAUUUUUGUAUUUUUGUAUUUUUAGAAAUGGGGUUUUACCAUGUUGGCCAGGCUGGUCUCGAACUCCUGACCUCAGGUGAUCUACCCACCUUGGCCUUCCAAAGUGCUGGGAUUACAGGCUUGAGCCACCUCUCGUGGCCUUUUCUUCUUUUCUUUUCUUUUUUUUAAUAGAGACAGGGUAUUACUAUGUUCCCCAGGCUGGUCUCAAACUCCUGGUCUCAAGGAAUCCUCCCACUUUAGUCUCUCAAAGUGCUGAGAUUACAGGCAUGAGCCACUGAGCCUGGUCUGUUCUAUUUUAUUAUUACUUAUUGUUGUUAAUCUCUUAUCAUGCCUCAUUUAUAAAUUAAACUUUAUCAUAGGUAUGUAGGUAUAGAGAAAAACAGACUAUUUAGGUUUAGGUACUAUCCAUGGUUUCAGGCAUCCACAGGGGGUCUUGGAACAUAUCCCUGAUAAAUAAGGGGAACUACUGUAAAUACGUAAUACUACAGAUAGAGAUAUGGUUUAGCUGUGUCCCCACCCAAAUUUCAUCUUGUAAUGUAGCUCCUAUAAUUCCCAUACGUCAUGGGAGUGUCCCAAUGGAAGGUAAUUGAAUCAUGAGGGGUGGGUCUUUCCCAUGCUGUUCUCAUAAUAGUAAGUCUCACAAGACCUGAUGGUUUAUAAAGGGAAGUUCCCCGGCACAAGCUCUCUCUUGCCUGCCGCCAUGUAAAAUGUCCCUUUGGUCUUCAUCUUCUGCUAUGAUUGUGAGGCUUCCCCAGCCAUGUGGAACUGUGAGUCCAUUAAACUUCUUUCCUU